AGUACUAAGCCGGACUAACGGAUAACAUUGAUGUCGUUAAAUAUGAGUAAUUUCUAGUACUU
rnacentral:tRNA from 1 species